AUACCAAUUCUAUAUAAUAUUAUAUUUUUAUGUUAUUAUUUUAUAUCAUUAUUUUACAUUUUUAGUCCAUUUUUAAUUUGUAAUUAUGGAAUUACAAUAAAAUCUAUUUAUACAAAAUAGAUAGCAACUAUAUAUAUACUUCAUCAAUGAAUGGAAUCUAUUAAAGUUAGGGGUGUUCAUCGGACAGUUUCGGUAGUCAUUACUCGGGUUCCCGUCGUCAUUGGUCGAGUUCCAAUCGACGUUAACAUUGAGUCACCACCUUCUAUGCAUCCGUGCAAAAGAAUUUGAGACAUAACAGGAUACGAGGUAUGGUUCUAUCUUUGAGGUUGGUUACUGGUGAUUUGAUAUGCAUUGUUUUCUAUGCUGGCAGAAAGUGGCAAGAGAAAGAGCAAAGAUCUUGCAGAGAAUCAAAACUCAGUAAAAAUUGAUUUCUUGCUAUUACACACAGGUUUUUACAAGCCAAGUCAAAAGUUUUGUUUAGACAAAUUACUGCACAUCAACUUUGAGCCUCCACAAAACUCUUUUGUCUUUGAUAAAAUGAGCAAGAAGCCUAAGCAGAUGAGACCAACUCAUUGUUAGCCAUGUAAUAAAAAACCAACGAGUCCUGGAAGCUCUUCUACUCUCCACGAAUACACAAAAUUCCCUCUCUUUCUCUUUUCUCUCUCUGUGCUCACCUUUCUGUACGAGCUUGGCAGUAUUCUUGCUCAUUUCUCUUUUAUCAUGAUGUUCUCUCUCUCAUUCUUAUUCUGCCUC